rnacentral:rRNA from 1 species
UAGGGAAUCUUCCACAAUGGGUGCAAGCCUGAUGGAGCAACACCGCGUGAGUGAAGAAGGGUUUCGGCUCGUAAAGCUCUGUUGUUAAAGAAGAACACGUAUGAGAGUAACUGUUCAUACGUUGACGGUAUUUAACCAGAAAGUCACGGCUAACUACGUACCAG